rnacentral:lncRNA from 1 species
UAUUUAAUGGGACCGUUAAAUAGGUUAGCUACAUUGGAUAGAAAAUUUCCCAGCAUCUGUAACUAUGGCAUCCUUAGCCGAUGAGCAUGGGUGUUUUUUGUUUGCUGUAAUGUGGGGCUUCCUUCCCUUAUCUGACCCAAAUAGGAAGGGGGCAAAAAGGCAUCCUAUUCUUUUAGUUUUCUAUAACAAAUCCCCAGAUUAAUGCUAACCAAACCCCGUCUAUCUUAUUAAGCCUUUUGUUCAGUGUUCCAAGCUGAAAAGUACAAUGUCAGAGCAAUUAAAUACAAUUCAAAUAUGAAGCAAAUACGUCCAAUCAGAGACAUACAAUAUUCUAAAAAUAUACAUAUAACCCAUGCCUCAAAUUCGAAAUCACGAAUAAUUCGAUUCGUAAAACAGAUAUUAAGUUUGCCGAUAAAUCUAGUAAAGAGGUUACAUCACUUACCUUGCGAACGCGAUCCACAACAAAUCCAAUUAAUUCCGCAAAUCCCUCGCAGAACCUAAUAUUCAAAAACCAUUUUCUUCUUUUAAAAUUCAUCACAAUAUAUAUAUAUAUACAAAGACUUAAAUUUUUAAUAUCCCCCCUGGCUGAUCCUGCAGGAGUGCCUAGUACCCCAAGUUUGGGUUCAUACCCGUAAACCACCCCUUUUUUUUUGUUUUCUCUUUUCUUUUUCUUUUUUUUUCUUUUCUUUUUCUUCUUUCUUCUUUUCUCUCCCGACUCCCCCUCUUCUCCUUCGG